rnacentral:lncRNA from 1 species
CGCACGGCGUAGCAGAGGGAACCAGCCAUACCCAUAUCGGAGAAUUCGUGGGCGCGUGCGGCGGCGCGUGUGGUUCUGGCUCGCUGUCAAUCGGAGCAGAGGGCGUCUGGUGGCGGUACUUCUCGCCGUGGCCGGAACAGGAGAGAUCGAGGGAGAUGGGAGUGCUUGUAUGGGCGUUUGUGCGUGAGGAAGAGAGAGGAGGGAGCUGGUGGCGGCGGUUCGCCGCUGCUGCCCGGGAAGAGGCGGCGUAUGGCAGUGGACGGUGGCAAUCCCGGUCCCUUCUUCACACCAGUCGAGUGGAUUUGGGUAAGUUCGAUCCAUUCUGUGGAUUUGUUGAAUUGAUUCGUUUGAAUCUGUGUGGUUUAUGGUUUCUUUGAUCCAUUCUGUGGAUUUGUUGAAUUGGUUCAUUUUGAAGCAGGAGCUGCCUUGAUUUGGUGAAUUGGCUAGGAAUGGUUUUGGUUUUGGAUUAUGAACGAUGAUGGUUGAACCUGCUCUGAUACCAUGUUGAAAUUUGGUAUCGACAUAUUGUAAAAGAAUUGAGAGAUUGUAAAGAUUGUUCUUGUAUUUCUUGAUUCUUCCGUAUUACAAUGAUACUCAAUUUAUAGGUUUAAGAAUGAUCAAAAGUCAUGCAAAUCCCUAUAAUUAAGGUACUAAAGUCCUACAAUAUAUUUCUUUUGACUUUACUUGUGGUUUUUCUUGACUUUGUUAUUGAGUAUUUUCAACA